rnacentral:rRNA from 1 species
GACGAACGCUGGCGGCGUGCUUAACACAUGCAAGUCGAACGGAAAGGCCCUGCUUUUGUGGGGUGCUCGAGUGGCGAACGGGUGAGUAACACGUGAGUAACCUGCCCUUGACUUUGGGAUAACUUCAGGAAACUGGGGCUAAUACCGGAUAGGAGCUCCUGCUGCAUGGUGGGGGUUGGAAAGUUUCGGCGGUUGGGGAUGGACUCGCGGCUUAUCAGCUUGUUGGUGGGGUAGUGGCUUACCAAGGCUUUGACGGGUAGCCGGCCUGAGAGGGUGACCGGCCACAUUGGGACUGGGAGACGGCCCAGACUCCUAGGGGGGGCAGCAGGGGGGAAUAUUGCCCAAGGGGGGGAAGCCUGAUGCAGCAACGCCGCGGGCGGGAGGCCGGCCUUGGGGUUGUAAACCGCUUUCGCCGGUGACGAAGCGGGAGUGACGGUAAUGGGUAAAGAAGCACCGGCUAACUACGU